CAGAAACGAGGAUGAAGUGAGUUGAGAAAGGACUUCAAGCAUGUUGGGUUCGCUACCUAAGUUGAUACAUUUUGCCUAAUUUUUCUGUCUAAGUUUAGUAUUCAAUUCGGACGACUAACCUUAUGCAAAGUGUGACACAUUUAGCCACAAACCAAACAUACCUUCAUCUGUCCUUUCAAAGACACGUAGAGCCUGAAUUUCGGAGACACGUAGAGUCUGAAUUUCUACUGCUUAGUUCAUACUGAAUGUAGCAAGGAGCAUAUAGCAAAGCUGUGCAGGGCACGUGAUACGACAGAAAUGGUCCCAAAUCCCAGCUGUGUGCAGAGCUCUCAAAAUCAGGCGCAUGUGAAGAUGUAUCUCGAUGCCGGAUCCCGGGCGCAUGCAU
rnacentral:lncRNA from 1 species